AUUGAACGCUGGCGGCAGGCCUAACACAUGCAAGUCGAGCGGAUGAAGGGAGCUUGCUCCUGGAUUCAGCGGCGGACGGGUGAGUAAUGCCUAGGAAUCUGCCUGGUAGUGCGGGAUAACGUCCGGAAACGGGCGCUAAUACCGCAUACGUCCUGAGGGAGAAAGUGGGGGACCUUCGGACCUCACGCUAUCAGAUGAGCCUAGGUCGGAUUAGCUAGUUGGUGGGGUAAAGGCCUACCAAGGCGACGAUCCGUAACUGGUCUGAGAGGAUGAUCAGUCACACUGGAACUGAGACACGGUCCAGACUCCUACGGGAGGAAGCAGUGGGGAAUAUUGGACGAUGGGCGAAAGCCUGAUACAGCCAUGCCGCGUGUGUGAAGAAGGUCUUCGGAUUGUAAAGCACUUUAAGUUGGGAGGAAGGGCAGUAAGUUAAUACCUUGCUGUUUUGACGUUACCAACAGAAUAAGCACCGGCUAACUUCGUG
rnacentral:rRNA from 1 species